UGGGGAAUAUUGGACAAUGGGCGCAAGCCUGAUCCAGCCAUGCCGCGUGAGUGAUGAAGGCCCUAGGGUUGUAAAGCUCUUUCACCGGUGAAGAUAAUGACGGUAACCGGAGAAGAAGCCCCGGCUAACUUCGUGCCAGCAGCCGCGGUAAUACGAAGGGGGCUAGCGUUGUUCGGAUUUACUGGGCGUAAAGCGCACGUAGGCGGACUUUUAAGUCAGGGGUGAAAUCCCGGGGCUCAACCCCGGAACUGCCUUUGAUACUGGAAGUCUUGAGUAUGGUAGAGGUGAGUGGAAUUCCGAGUGUAGAGGUGAAAUUCGUAGAUAUUCGGAGGAACACCAGUCGCGAAGGCGGCUCACUGGACCAUUACUGACGCUGAGGUGCGAAAGCGUGGGGAGCAAACAGG
rnacentral:rRNA from 1 species